rnacentral:rRNA from 1 species
UACAUGGGGUGCAAACGUUGCUCGGCAUUAUUGGGCGUAAAGCGCGCGUAGGCGGUUACUCAAGUCGGAUGUGAAAGCCCUCGGCUUAACUGAGGAAGUGCACCCGAAACUGAGUAGCUAGAGUACUAAAGAGGGUCGCGGAAUUCCCGGUGUAGAGGUGAAAUUCAUAGAUAUCGGGAGGAAGGCCGGUGGCGAAGGCGGCGCUCUGGAACAUUUCUGACGCUGAGGCUCGAAAGCGUGGGGAGCAAACAGG